GACGUAGGCGGCCUUUCAAGUCGAAUGUAAAAUCUCCCGGCUCAACUGGGAGGGACCAUACGAUACUGUUAGGCUGGAGGACAGCAGAGGGAGGUGGAAUUCCCGGUGGAGUGGUGAAAUGCGUAGAUAUCGGGAGGAACACCAGUGGCGAAGGCGACCUCCUGGGCUGUUUCUGACGCUGAGGUCCGUAAGCGUGGGGAGCAAACAGGAUUAGAUACCCUGGUAGUCC
rnacentral:rRNA from 1 species